rnacentral:siRNA from 1 species
AUGGUUGUCUUGCUUCCUCAAA